ACGAACGCUGGCGGCAUGCCUAACCCCUGCAAGUCGAACGAGACCUUCGGGUCUAGUGGCGCACGGGUGCGUAACGCGUGGGAACCUGCCUUUAGGUUCGGAAUAACUCAGAGAAAUUUGAGCUAAUACCGGAUGAUGUCUUCGGACCAAAGAUUUAUCGCCUUUAGAUGGGCCCGCGUUGGAUUAGCUAGUUGGUGGGGUAAAGGCCUACCAAGGCGACGAUCCAUAGCUGGUCUGAGAGGAUGAUCAGCCACACUGGGACUGAGACACGGCCCAGACUCCUACGGGAGGCAGCAGUGGGGAAUAUUGGACAAUGGGCGAAAGCCUGAUCCAGCAAUGCCGCGUGAGUGAUGAAGGCCUUAGGGUUGUAAAGCUCUUUUACCCGAGAUGAUAAUGACAGUAUCGGGAGAAUAAGCUCCGGCUAACUCCGUG
rnacentral:rRNA from 1 species